AUUGAACGCUGGCGGCACGCUUAACACAUGCAAGUCGGACGGCAGCACGAGAGGGGUGACCCUCUGGGUGGCGCGUGGCGGACGGGAGAGUAACGCGUAGGGCUCUGCUUAUUAGCGGGGGAUAAGCCGUGGAAACGCAGCGUAAUACCGCAUACGCUCUGAGGCGGAAGGGUUGGGAGCUGGAGACGGCCCAAUCGCUACUAGUUGAACCUGCGUUAGAUUAGCUAGUUGGUAGGGUAAAGGCCUACCAAGGCGAUGAUCUAUAGCUGGUCUGAGAGGAUGACCAGCCACACUGGAACUGAGAUACGGACCAGACUCCUACGGGAGGCAGCAGUGGGGAAUAUUGGACAAUGGGGGAAACCCUGAUCCAGCGAUGCCGCGUGUGUGAAGAAGGCCUGAGGGUUGUAAAGCACUUUAGUUGGUGAGGAAAGGGGAUGCGUUAAUAGCGCGUUCAAGUGACGUUAGCCAAAGAAUAAGCACCGGCAAACUCUGUG
rnacentral:rRNA from 1 species